rnacentral:rRNA from 1 species
UACGGAGGGAGCUAGCGUUGUUCGGAAUUACUGGGCGUAAAGCGCACGUAGGCGGCUUUGUAAGUUAGAGGUGAAAGCCUGGAGCUCAACUCCAGAACUGCCUUUAAGACUGCAUCGCUUGAAUCCAGGAGAGGUGAGUGGAAUUCCGAGUGUAGAGGUGAAAUUCGUAGAUAUUCGGAAGAACACCAGUGGCGAAGGCGGCUCACUGGACUGGUAUU